rnacentral:rRNA from 1 species
CCAAUGUGAACGUUACAAACUGUUGCCUCGGCGGGAUCUCUGCCCCGGGUGCGUCGCAGCCCCGGACCAAGGCGCCCGCCGGAGGACCAACCAAAACUCUUUUGUAUACCCCCUCGCGGGUUUUUAUAUAUCUGAGCCAUCUCGGCGCCUCUCGUAGGCGUUUCGAAAAUGAAUCAAAACUUUCAACAACGGAUCUCUUGGUUCUGGCAUCGAUGAAGAACGCAGCGAAAUGCGAUAAGUAAUGUGAAUUGCAGAAUUCAGUGAAUCAUCGAAUCUUUGAACGCACAUUGCGCCCGCCAGUAUUCUGGCGGGCAUGCCUGUCCGAGCGUCAUUUCAACCCUCGAACCCCUCCGGGGGGUCGGCGUUGGGGAUCGGCCCUUUACGGGGCCGGCCCCGAAAUACAGUGGCGGUCUCGCCGCAGCCUCUCCUGCGCAGUAGUUUGCACACUCGCAUCGGGAGCGCGGCGCGUCCAUUGCCGUUAAACACCCAACUUUCUGAAAUGUUGACCUCGGAUCAGGUAGGAAUACCCGCUGAACUUAAGCAUAUCAAUAAGCGGAGG